rnacentral:rRNA from 1 species
AUUGAACGCUGGCGGCAGGCCUAACACAUGCAAGUCGGACGGUAGCACAGAGAGCUUGCUCUUGGGUGACGAGUGGCGGACGGGUGAGUAAUGUCUGGGGAUCUGCCCGAUAGAGGGGGAUAACCACUGGAAACGGUGGCUAAUACCGCAUAACGUCGCAAGACCAAAGAGGGGGACCUUCGGGCCUCUCACUAUCGGAUGAACCCAGAUGGGAUUAGCUAGUAGGCGGGGUAAUGGCCCACCUAGGCGACGAUCCCUAGCUGGUCUGAGAGGAUGACCAGCCACACUGGAACUGAGACACGGUCCAGACUCCUACGGGAGGCAGCAGUGGGGAAUAUUGCACAAUGGGCGCAAGCCUGAUGCAGCCAUGCCGCGUGUAUGAAGAAGGCCUUCGGGUUGUAAAGUACUUUCAGCGGGGAGGAAGGCGGUACGGUUAAUAACCGUGCCGAUUGACGUUACCCGCAGAAGAAGCACCGGCUAACUCCGUGCCAGCCGCCGCAGUAA